AUUCCUUUUCAUGCAGAUGCUUUAUUUGACUCAUGGAUUCCUUUCUGGAAGAAAAACAACCGGGCGCUAUCUUGAGGAUUUACUGAGAAUGUCAGUGCUGCCAAAUGAAAGCAGAACUAAAAAGGAAAACACUUGUUUCUCAGGGGACGUAUAACGAAGAAGAAACAUCAGUUUGGCGGGCCAAAUUGAACGUCGCAACUAAAUAUUUAUAACAGUUAGAAUAACAUUGAAGAUGAGGUUCCGAGCAAAAAUGAAUGAUGUUCGUUGCCUUAAUAAUUUCACACACACUGUCCACCAAAGGAUCAUUAAUUUGAUUCUGCAGCACAAAGACGUGUCCCUGCAAUGCUUCAUCCCAGCGAUGGAGUUUGUUUUUCUUCUGGAUCCUGCUGGAAAGCUACUGGGGUAAAGGUCAGUGGUGAAACGUCACAACUCUGCAACUUGAGUAGGAUAACAACAUUUUCUCAGAGGUCCUCACUUGAAGGGUCGUUCAAGUGAAAUGAUCCGCUGGGAACAGUCCUUGCUAUCUGGGAUUCUUGGGACAUCCCUACACCAUUGAAGUAGAAAUUGAAAAUGGUUAAGUACGGGUUAUGAUUAAGGUUAGGUUUAGGGUUGGAGUUGGGACAUCCCAGUGAACUACGAGCUUCCGAUAACACGUGAACGUGGAAUUUAGACCUGGAACAAAGUUAGUAUAUUCUUUAUAGUUUACUCUUUUAUUUAAUAUGGUUAUAAACUUCUAUGUACGUUGCUACUCUAUUGCUGUUUUGCUGCAGGAUACAUAGUUUAAUAAUUCCACUCAAGAUGUAGCUAGCUUCAUGCCCUGCCUUUGUACACACAGUACGUUGUUUUCAUUUGACAAUAACUUUUCUCCAGAUAUAGGCUAUAAAAAAUAUAUAUUCUCCUUGUAGAUAUCUUGUGUGAUUUCUAGUGAAAAAUUGGUUAAACAAGUCAAUGUAUAUGGCAAUAGAGGAGGGAGAUUGAAGGAUAAGGACACUUUAGACAAGCUUAAACAACACCUACCUAUCUGUCUAGUGCGUUAUGUUAAGGGAUAAUCAAUGAGGGGCUAUUCGUUCUAUGGAAAAUAAUGAACAACGUGGAAGAUGUGCCCCACGACUUGCUAGCGGAGUGGAACUGACCUUCCACGGAGUUGCAUUAUUUUCCAAAUAAUGCAAGGGCCCCGAGAAAUAGACUUGCUAGUUUAGCUAACAAACCCAUUAAAAAAUAAAAUUCAACAAUGCCAAUGAUGUUUUCAACUGCCAAUCUAUACCUUUGCUAUUAGAAUAAUUUUUAUACAUGUAUAUAUUUUUAUUUUAUUUAUAU
rnacentral:lncRNA from 1 species